AUACUUACCUGGCAGGGGAGAUACCAGGAUCACGAAGGUGGUUUUCCCAGGGCAAGGCUUAUCCAUUGCACUCCGGAUGUGCUAACCCCUGCAAUUUCCCCAAAUGUGGGAAACCUGACUGCAUAAUUUGUGGUAGUGGGGGACUGCAAUCACGCUCUCCCCUG
ensembl:snRNA U1 U1 spliceosomal RNA